rnacentral:lncRNA from 1 species
GGAUUCCUUUGCGCAUGCGCCGCCCCGCCCGCUUCCGCCAUCUUCCGCCUGAGAAUCUCGGCCGUUGCUGUCAUCGAGCGGCUGGCUGCUCUGGAGGCCCUGAGGUGGGUGUCUUCGUCCCUGCCGGUUGGUGGGAGGAUGAAACAGGAACCGGCGGGCUUGGGGGCGCCCUAGGGAGAUGGGGCGGACGUGCCACAGUUGAUGGGAGCAGAGGCGUGGGCGCAUCCCGAGUGGGCGGGACCCGACGUGCAGCUAUGCUUCCAGAGUGCUCUGUGCAUUUCCAAGAUCAACAGUGAAUAAAUCUCUGGUGAGUUACUUGUUUAUAUAUGUCUCACUUUGUUUUACAUUGCAUUUUUUGCCUUUAUGGAGUCCAUGGAUUAAAAUGGAAAAAUAAAAAUAAGUAAAAUUCAGGUUAAAGGAAAUGCACAUAAAUAAAAUAAUGCUGGUGGGCCGGGUGCGGUGGCUCAUGCCUGUAAUCCCAGCACUUUGGGAGGCUGAAGUGGGUGGAUCAUGAGGU